UAACACUAACUGGAGGACCGAACCGACUAAUGUUGAAAAAUUAGCGGAUGACUUGUGGCUGGGGGUGAAAGGCCAAUCAAACCGGGAGAUAGCUGGUUCUCCCCGAAAGCUAUUUAGGUAGCGCCUCGUGAAUUCAUCUCCGGGGGUAGAGCACUGUUUCGGCAAGGGGGUCAUCCCGACUUACCAACCCGAUGCAAACUGCGAAUACCGGAGAAUGUUAUCACGGGAGACACACGGCGGGUGCUAACGUCCGUCGUGAAGAGGGAAACAACCCAGACCGCCAGCUAAGGUCCCAAAGUCAUGGUUAAGUGGGAAACGAUGUGGGAAGGCCCAGACAGCCAGGAUGUUGGCUUAGAAGCAGCCAUCAUUUAAAGAAAGCGUAAUAGCUCACUGGUCGAGUCGGCCUGCGCGGAAGAUGUAACGGGGCUAAACCAUGCACCGAAGCUGCGGCAGCGACGCUUAUGCGUUGUUGGGUAGGGGAGCGUUCUGUAAGCCUGCGAAGGUGUGCUGUGAGGCAUGCUGGAGGUAUCAGAAGUGCGAAUGCUGACAUAAGUAACGAUAAAGCGGGUGAAAAGCCCGCUCGCCGGAAGACCAAGGGUUCCUGUCCAACGUUAAUCGGGGCAGGGUGAGUCGACCCCUAAGGCGAGGCCGAAAGGCGUAGUCGAUGGGAAACAGGUUAAUAUUCCUGUACUUGGUGUUACUGCGAAGGGGGGACGGAGAAGGCUAUGUUGGCCGGGCGACGGUUGUCCCGGUUUAAGCGUGUAGGCUGGUUUUCCAGGCAAAUCCGGAAAAUCAAGGCUGAGGCGUGAUGACGAGGCACUACGGUGCUGAAGCAACAAAUGCCCUGCUUCCAGGAAAAGCCUCUAAGCAUCAGGUAACAUCAAAUCGUACCCCAAACCGACACAGGUGGUCAGGUAGAGAAUACCAAGGCGCUUGAGAGAACUCGGGUGAAGGAACUAGGCAAAAUGGUGCCGUAACUUCGGGAGAA
rnacentral:rRNA from 1 species